rnacentral:rRNA from 1 species
GAUGAACGCUGGCGGCGUGCUUAACACAUGCAAGUCGAACGAUGAACCUCACUUGUGGGGGGAUUAGUGGCGAACGGGUGAGUAACACGUGAGUAACCUGCCCUUGACUCUGGGAUAAGCCUGGGAAACCGGGUCUAAUACUGGAUACGACCUUCUGUCGCAUGCCAUGUUGGUGGAAAGCUUUUGUGGUUUUGGUUGGACUCGCGGCCUAUCAGCUUGUUGGUGGGGUAAUGGCUUACCAAGGCGACGACGGGUAGCCGGCCUGAGAGGGUGACCGGCCAGAGUCAGACUGAGAAACGGGCCAGACGGCUACGGUAGGCAGCAGUGCGGAAUGUUGCACAAUGGGAGGGAGCCUGAUGCAGCGAGGCAGCAUGAGGGAUGGAUGCCUUAGGGUUGUAAACCUCUUUGAGUAGAGAAGAAGCCGGCUUUUGGGUUGGUGACGGUACCUGCAGAAGAAGCGCCGGCUAACUACGUG